UUUUGUUGAUUUUUUUAGAAAAGAAAUACUAAAAAUUUUGUUACGACAAGUGCAGGAACGGAAAUAAAAAAUGACGAAUACAAAAUAAAUAAAGUACAAGCAGAAAUAAAAGAAUGCGCAGAUUUAUAUGAAAAAAUUUUUAUAAGAAAAAAUCAUGGGUGAGAAAGGAGAGAACUUUACUAUCGAAAAAGGAAUACAGUGUUUGAAGUACAGCCAACCACGAUCUGUCACUUCUAGGGCAAAAACAAGAAAGAAAAUUCUUAACGGGCUCGGGCUUAUCGACCCGAGCCUUCUGCUACGUACCCACCACAGAUAUUUAUUUUUUCUUAAUAAAUUUAUUUUCAAAUAUCGCACAGCGAGACUGUUGAGGAGUCGAAAUUUCGAACUGAAGUCGAUUAUUAAUUUUAAGUCACAUCUAACAAAUCUAAAGAGUUUUUUUAAUCUUUGGAUAAAAAGAUGUAUGAUUGAUAU
rnacentral:lncRNA from 1 species